AUCCUUGCAUAAUAUGGGCCGAGAAGACUCCUGCCCCCUCCACAGUGCCUCCCUCACUCCUUUUGGUAUCUGUCUUGUGCCCAUUUGAGGAAUGACGACUCCUUCUUCCUUCAGCCUUUUUAAUCCUUUCGUAGCUUCUUAUUAAUCGGGUUUUCAUUUGCUUAAUUAAUGUCGAGAGAGAAAUAAAAUACUAUUUUUAACAUUUACAUAAAAAAAAAUCACUGUUAUUUUGCUUUCCUUUUGUUUUUGCCAUUUUUGCGUCUCUAUUUUCUCCCGUCUGAAAGGUUCCAAUCCGAAAAGCUUCAUUGUCCCCUAUGGUCGGCCAACACCGACUCCCGCCCCCUUCGCGGAUCCUCCAUCUCUGUCUGUGACUUCUCCCUCCCUGACCGCAUCCAUUCCUCCAUCACUCCUUUCGAUCGAAUUGCGGGUGGCCAAGAUCGACUUUUUCCCUCUCCAUGGCUCCUCCCAUAAUCUCUUUGGUAGGUGCCCCAACCUUGUAUGUUGUUGGUGGGCGAGAAGGCUCCUGGCCCUUUUGCAGCUCCUCCCUCACUCCUUUCGGUAGGUGCCCCAAUCCUCGCAUACUGUGGGCCGAGAAGACUCCUGCCACCUCCACAGUGCCUCCCUCACUCCUUUCGGUAGUUGUCAUGUGCCCAUUUGAGGAAUGACGACUCCUUCUUCCUUUAGCCUUUUCAAUUCUUUCGCAACGUCUUAUUGAUCGGGUCUUCAGUCGCUUAAUUAAUAUCGAGAGAGAAAAAAAUAAUACUUUUUUUAACAUUUACUUAAGAAAAUCACUGUCCUUAUGCUUCCCUUUUGUUUUUGCCAUUUCUGCGUCUCUCUUUACUCCCGUCUGAAAGGUUCCAAUCCGAAAAGCUUCAUUGUCCCCUAUGGUCGGCCAACACUGACUCCCGCCCCCUGCGUGAAUCCUCUGUCUCUGUCUGCGACUUCUCCCUCCCUGUCCGCAUCCACUCCUCCCUCACUCCUUUCGACCGAAUUGCUGGUGGCCAAGAUCAACUUUUGCCCUCUUCAUGGCUCCUCCCUCAAUCUCUUUGAUAGGUGCCCCAACCUUGUAUGUUGUUGGUGGGCGAGAAGGCUCCUGUCCCUUUUCGCAGCUCCUCCCUCACUCCUUCCGGUAGGUGCCCCAAUCCUCGCAUACUGUGGGCCGAGAAGACUCCUGCCCCCUCCGUAGUGCCUCCCUCACUCCUUUCGUAGUUGUCAUGUGCCCAUUUGAGGAAGGACGACUCCUUCUUUCUUUAGCCUUUUCAAUUCUUUCGCAGUGUCUUAUUGGUUAGGUCUUCAUUCGCUUAAUUAAUAUCGAGAGAGGAAAAAAAAUCUUUUUUUAACAUUUACUUAAGAAAAUCGCUGUCCUUCUGCUUUCCUUUUGUUUCUGUCAUUUCUGCGUUUCUCUUUUCUUUCGUCUGAAAAGGUUCCACUGUCCCCUUUCGUCGGCCAACACUGACUCCCACCCCCUCCGCGGGUCCUCCGUCUCUGUCUGCGACUUCUCCCUCUCUGUCCGCGACUCCUUCCUCACUCCUUUCAACCGAAUUGUUAGACCGAAUUGUGGGUGGCCAUGAUCGACUCCUGCCUUCUCCGCAGCUCCUCCCUCAAUCUCUUCGAUAGGUGCCCCAACCUCGUACGUUGUUGGUGGCCGAGAAGGCUCCUAGCCCCUCCGCAGCUCCUCCCUCACUCCUUCCAGCCCCCGAAGAGGAGGAAGAUCCCGUACUUGAUGUGGCAGAGAGAGAUACGAGGAAGCACUGGGCUAUCAGGGCCAUGAAGAGGAGGUUGACGCAGACGACCAUGCUCUGUCCGGCUAAGCGGGUCUCCAAGGGGAAGAGCUCGCUCGGGACUAGCCAGCCAAGGGGACCCCAUGACCGUCCAUGGGCUAGCACGAUAGCCCAGGGUCACAAUUAUCUGCACGAUAUCAAGAUGAGGCAUAUGAUUAGCGAGUGACCAGAGAAUCAAGGACUGAAUGAACUUUGAGUAGAUGGAAAUCAAUAGAGAUGUUCAGCUUCUGUGUUUUAAAGUGAUUGAUUUUGUUCAACUUCUGUGUUUUCCUCUUUUACCUGAAUUAGAUGUUCAUUUGUUUGCUUCAGUUGAGGAGAUGCAGAGGCAUAAUUUCGGCUUAAUGGACUCGAGCAAUUCCAUGAUUUGUUAGCGAAAUUCGGAGUGAAUAUAUAUACCUGAGCACAAUGGAUUGCACGUGUCCUAAAUGCCAAGGCGUCCAACUCAAAAAGCGAGUCCACAAUGUCCCUUUUUCCAAUUUUUACCUAAUUGUUGUUGUGCUUCUCAAAAUUUGACCUGUCUUCAUGCAUGUUUUCUUCUUUCAAUUGCUACAGAUGCAGCAAGAUAUUCGUUUACCCCAAUUGACAAGUAAGAUAGCGAGAUUACAUCGCCGUGCACACAUAAUCUCGCGUAAUGUUGAUGUAAAUGGAAUGUUGCCUUUGUUGCAAAUGAUGAUACAACAUCUUGGUGAACGUUCAUGAUUUAAAAUGAAAUUUCUUUUGGAUAUAUAUGAGUUAUUUUAGCAUCUUACAAUCAAAUUUGUCAAUUCCUGCAAUCAAAGACUUGCUAACUGCAUAAAUUAGGUGAAGAUGAAGUUUGAAAAUGGACAAGUUACUUUUUUGGUUCACAUUUGAGAAGAAAGUUUCACUGUUUUAGUUGAUUGGUUCGCUUUUCUUUUAGGUACUGCAAACAGUGCUUGUGCUACGGGGAGCUCGACUCCUACAAUAAACACACACCCUAACCCUUCGACUGAUGGGGUUUCUGGUGUGGGGAGUUUGACCUCUGGAAUAAACACGCGACCAUCCGCUUUGACUGAGAGUGAUAACGAGACUUGGAAUUUUGGGAAACCUACAUGCGAUUGUGAAUAUUGUGGGGCACUACAUUAGUAUGAAGAGAGAAAAGAGAAAUAUAGACGACCAAGGAAUCCAAAAUUCUCUAUUUGUAGUUCGGAGGGCCGCAUAGAACUACGAGGCAAUAUUACGCUUUUCAUCUUCAACAAAGGCGUCAAGAGGGACAAACCUGGCUGCGUGCGGGCCAUUUACUACGGCAGUAUCUUGUGGAUGCUUACGCUUGUAUUGAGGAAAAUUGGCUAAAUUGGAUAUGAAAAAACUAGAAACAAUUGAGAGCUGAGUUGUACAAAGGACUCAAGGAUGCAAUUAGACAAAGCGACUUGAUGAGUGAUGAUGUUGGCCGAAUGACAGUAUUAACGUCAACCCACACUGGUGGACUCCGAUAUCGUGUACAGAAUUAUCAAGGCGCUAUGGCUAUCUAUCGGUCAAUUGGAUAUCCGGACUUAUUCCUUAUAUUCACAUGUAACCCAAAGUGGCCAGAAAUAGAAUAUUUUAUUGAAGACAGAGAGGGGCAACGGAGUGAAGACAGAGUUGAUAUUGUUAACCGGGUCUUUUCAAUCGAGCUUUGGGAAGUACUUCAUGAUAUCAAGCGACAUAAAAUUUUUGGUAAGACUAUUGGAGGUAAGUGAACCUCAUAUCUUUGCUGACAAAUUUUUGGUAAUCAAAUUCUCAGAACGAGAGCUCUCUCUACGCUGCUUUUGUGAACCAGAUUGCUUCGGUCUGCAUGUCUACAAUGAAUAUACCUCAUGGCUGUAAUGAUCGUGAGGUAGAUGAUUUGAGCUUAUGAGAGAUUGAAACAGACUAUAGUUUAUGUUUUUGUUCAAAUGAAUGUUUCCCAUUACAGCUUAUCAGUGCAAAUUUAGUUCCUGUCGAGCAUCAUGUUUGGUGAGGCUGAUUAUUAGCUUGGGGGUAAUGAUAGCAGACAAUCUAGAGUUCUUUUGCUCCAUUCAGAACAUGUGCAAAAUUUCAUAUUA